rnacentral:rRNA from 1 species
UUAAUGAAGAGUUUGAUCCUGGCUCAGGGUUAACGCUGGCGGUAUGUAUAAUACAUGCAAGUCGAGUGGGUUUAGACCCACGGCGAACGGCUGAGUAACACGUUGGAACCUUCCCCGGACUCAGGGAUAACCCGCAGAAAUGCGGAGUAAUACCGGAUGGUCCCGCAAGGGUAAAGCUUUUGCGGUCCGGGAGGGGCCUGCGGCCUAUCAGCUAGUUGGUGAGGUAACUGCUCACCAAGGCUAUGACGGGUAGCUGGUCUGAGAGGAUGACCAGCCAGAAUGGGACUGAGAAACGGCCCAUACUCCUACGGGAGGCAGCAGUAAAGAAUCUUCCGCAAUGGGAGAAAUCCUGACGGAGCAAUACCGCGUGAACGAAGAAGGUCGUAAGAUUGUAAAGUUCUUUUCUGAGGGAAUAAUUCUGAAUGUACCUCAGGAAUAAGCACCGGCAAACUCCGUGCCAGCAGCCGCGGUAAUACGGAGGGUGCGAGCGUUACCCGGAAUCAUUGGGCAUAAAGCGUGCGCAGGUGGUUUGUUAAGUUGAGUAUUAAAUCCUGAAGCCCAACUUCAGGGCUGUACUCAAAACUGGCAGACUAGAGACUUUUAGAGGUACGUGGAAUUCUGUGUGUAGGGGUAAAAUCCGUAGAUACACAGAGGAACACCAAAAGCGAAGGCAGCGUACUGGAAAAGUUCUGACACUCAUGCACGAAAGCGUGGGGAGCAAACGGGAUUAGAUACCCCGGUAGUCCACGCCUUAAACUAUGGACACUAGGUGUUGGAGGGUUCGACCCCUU